UGUCGGAACGGGAAACCGAUAAGAGGAAACUUUGUUUUUGCUAGGGCGNCGAGUGGCGGACCGGGGUGAGUNACGCGUGGGAAUCUACCCUAUAGUUGGGGACAACAUAUGGAAACGUAUGCUGAUACCGAAUAUGCUCUACGGAGUAAAGGAGCCCUCUUCUUGAAAGGUUUCGCUAUAGGAUGAGCCCGCGUGAGAUUAGCUAGUUGGUAGGGUAAUUGGCUUACCAAGGCGACGAUCUCUAGCUGGUUUGAGAGGAUGAUCAGCCACACUGUGGACUGAGACACGGCCCAGACUCCUACGGGAGGCAGCAGUGGGGAAUAUUGCACAAUGAGCGAAAGCUUGAUGCAGCCAUACCGCGUGUGUGAAGAAGGCCCGAGGGUUGUAAAGCACUUUCAAUUGUGAGGAAGAUAGUAUAGUUAAUACCUGUAUUGUUUGACGUUAACUUUAGAAGAAGCACCGGCUAACUCCGUGCCAGCAGCCGCGGUAAUACGGAGGGUGCAAGCGUUAAUCGGAA
rnacentral:rRNA from 1 species